ACUCAAAUGAAUUGACGGGGGCCCGCACAAGCGGUGGAACAUGUGGUUUAAUUCGACACUACGCGAGGAACCUUACCUAGGCUUGACAUGUUUAUGACAGUCGUAGAAAUACGAUCUUCCGGGCUUCGGUUCGGACAUUUACACAGGUGCUGCAUGGCUGUCGUCAGCUCGUGUCGUGAGAUGUUGGGUUAAGUCCUCUAACGAGCGCAACCCUUGCUGUCAGUUGCUACAUUGCAAAAUGAGCACUCUGGCGGGACUGCCUAGGAAACUAGGAGGAAGGUGGGGAUGACGUCAAGUCCGCAUGGCCCUUAUGCCUAGGGCUACACACGUGUUACAAUGGCCAGUACAAAGGGCUGCUAAUCCGCAAGGACAUGCCAAUCCCAUAAAGCUGGUCUAAGUUCAGAUUGGGGUCUGCAACUCGACCCCAUGAAGUUGAAAUCGCUAGUAAUCGCAUAUCAGCAACGAUGCGGUGAAUACGUUCUCGGGCCUUGUACACACCGCCCGU
rnacentral:rRNA from 1 species